GUGGCAACUCGACACUAGCGGAGGGAGAGAGACGCACCGAGAGAGAGCGAACAGAGCUGCACAUCCGCAGGAGGUGGAGCCUCCCAGAGCCCAGACCGAUUACCUGACUCACAGGCCUGGGAAUGCCUUGGCAUCCUGCAGGAAGAACUCCAGAGUGUUGCUGGGCAAAGAGAGACGUCUCCUUGACCUCCUUUCACCUUUUACCUCAGUGACCCGACCCCAGAUAAACCAAAGGAAAUGGAUGGAUGGAUUCUAAUAAAUAACUGUAAAGCACUAAUUGGCUCCAUUUUUCCGCAUUAUGAACUCAUUUACUUCAAAUGCAUUUAGCGGACAAACCUUUCACUGAAUUUCAAUGUGGUACUUUAACUUCCUGUGGAGUUUUGGGGUUUUUUUUGUAUUGCUGUGUUGCUACUUCCACUUCAGUAAAGGAUCUGAAUAAUUUUGGAGAAAUUCCUUGUAAAUUUAUCUUUUCAGCUGAACCAUUGUCUGUGCUGUGUUUUCCAGUAACUCCUGUCUGAAACGUCAUGUACAGGAGAUAUUUAAAGUAUCAUUUGUUUUUUCUCAGUCUGAUUAAGAAUCACUGUUUCAGUGUAAAUGCCUUUAAGUGAAAGUCUGUGGUUUGUGAGCAGAAUGUAAGUACCAGAUAAUGUCAAGGAUACUUUGUGCGCCACAUGAUAGGAUAGAAUUAUGUUUGUGGGGUUUCUUUUUGUCUUCUUGUUUUUUUUGUAGAUUUGGCAACACACUGUAAGCAGACUUCCUGUGCUGUUUAUGUUCCUGUUGCUCCAUUAUAUUGUUUUUGUUAUCUAAUCAUGCAGCUGUAAUGAUCUUUGCUCUUUCGCUACAGCUUUGAUCACUGUGUUUUCACAAAUUGGCAUGAUAUUAAGUUCAGUCUCGCAAAUGACGUUAAGAAUGAGCGCAGGACUGUUACAAGGUGUGGCACAGUCGCACUCUGCUAUUAGGUUGGAGCCACACCUAAGUUUUAUCUGGUUUGUUUUAUUUGAGCAUAGCAACUGUGAGUCAUCGUAUCCAACACAAAAGCGGUGUACCGGGUGGGAGGAGAACAUGUUACCUGCCGCAUGCCUACCUGUUCAGUUAAAUGUUGCAAAAUCACAGAGUAAGCACAAUCAACAAUUCUGUGUAAUUGGACCAAGGUGCAAAUAAAUAAGAUCUCCACUGAAAUUGCUUUGUUUCCCAAGUUCCUGUCAGCCUUCCUUUGUUUAAAUGCAUUUGGGGAAAAAAAUGUAAAGGUUAUUCACUCAGCCUGUCAUUUCCCUUGAGGAUAUCUGAAGAUUUCAUUUCCCCAAAGCAGAUUAAAGUGAAUAGGUUUACAGUGAAGCGGAUGCAGAAGGAGCUCCACAGAAGCGCAAUCUCUUUCCUCCAUUUAUCAGCUGACAAAUCAUCAUUCACUUAUUUCCUCACAUUGCUUCCAAAUCUGUUCACUCUGACUUCACCUUCGUUGUAAUUGCGUCUUUAUCAGCAGAAACAAUAAACAGCUUCACAUACCGCAGAUAAAAGCUCAGCGAGAGGCAACAAAUGCUAUGAAAUUAAUUAAAGUGAUAAUAAUUUAACUUUAUGAUCCAAACAGCAUGAGAGAUGAACAGGUCUGGACUUACCAUUACAACUGAAGCUGCAGUGACUGCAGAUGUUCUCCUCUCUCUGAUGCCACCUGUUCUGAUGUGAACUUGUAGGAGUUAGAAAGUAUUAAAAGUUACCGUCACCGCCCUGAAAAUUAUAAUUCCCUUUCCUUGGUGAAUACACAACGUACACAAAACAAAGAGAUGAGUCAAAGGAGAGUAUGACACCACAGGGUGUGUUAAAGCAGAGAGGGGCGGACUGGGAUGAACAGGGAGGAUGCAGGUAGAAAGGUAACAGAACAUUUAGUUUUUUAGCUGAGAUGCUUUUUUUUCUCCUGAGACUGUUUUUCUAUUAUGAAUUCCUAUAAAAUAGUAGUUUGUUUUG